AGUAAACUCACGAUAUAAAAUAAAAAACAAUUUUAUCGAAAAAAUUUCUCAAUAUUAUUUCGAAUCGUAAUUCGUUGCAACUUUCUAAUUGCGCGCGGUAACUUGAUUUUAAAAAGUGCCACAAGAACCUAAGAGAUUGUUAAAUAGAUUAGCGUGUGGUAAUCGCAAAAAGGAAGGCGCGAAAAAAAAAUUAGAAUCACGUGCAGGAAACACGCUAGAAACGUGCCGUUUUUGUCUCGCGACGAGAGAUAUCAUAUCUCGCUCGCGAACGUGCAUAUCUUAAGUCCGCGCGUCUCUAUGCAAAUGACAACGUGACCUUCCUUCCGCGCGAGAUCAUGCAUACGACGACGCACUACACGUGUAUAGAUAUCCAUCUGCCGCGGAGAAUCGCGGAGGAUCUCGAUCGAUCGUACGGCGAUCAACGGAGAACAGAGGGGAUAAGCGGGAUGAAAUUGUAGCCCCGUGGAAAUGAAGUUGGAAAUCGGUGGAAAUGGAGGCUCUUUACGCGGAGAGCACCGUCGGGGGGCCGUCUCUCGCAUCCCACUGCGCGCGCGAUCUCCUCGGAUUUAUACGCGUUACGUAAAGCAACCGCGGUCACAUACGAGAGAGAGAAAGAGAGAUCUGCGAGGCCGCGUCUUAUAUAUAUAUGUGCAAUCGUAUAUAUAUGUAUAUGUACAUGUGCACAUAUAUUCUAGUCCAUAUAUACUCCGCUCCGCUCUAUUAGAGCGCUAAGAGUGGCGACGACGAACGACGGCUGGAUUCCGUUUCGCCAAGAUCGGGGGCCGCAAGAUCGGGCAAUUGUCCCCCGCGACUGGGAAAAGAGAGAAGGAGAUCGAAAGAGACCGAGAAGUCAGAGAAGCCAACUUCUAACUCGGAAUACCAAUAUCCCUCGAGAGAGUGACGAGAUCUGGGGAGCGACGCGGGAGAAUAUAAUGAGAGUAAAGAGGGUCGUUCCGGCUCUUAAGUUCUCGAGGCUUUUCCGGACUGUAUUCGCGGAUUUCUUCCUUCACCCCGUCGUAGUAUAUUUUCACCUGUUGUAUAGUCGCCGUGAGUACGUUCAAUGGUCGGCGAUGGUCGUUACUUACCGCGAGAAGCUAUAAACUUUAAAUGUAUCCUAAUGUGAUAUAGAAUGAUAUAAAGAAGUAUGAAAUAAAUGAGAAUUAGAAUUAACAAGAAAAAAAAUGAGAACUCUGGCUAUUGAUAAAUUGAUAUCUGCUCGUACUUAUGUCAUUGUGUCGUCGGACGCUAUUACUGUCAUAAGGUUCAAUUUUCGCGCUUUCGAGAUUGCCCGGAUGAUGAUUACAGCGAUGAUAUAAGGGUUUUGUAACAUGAUUUUGUAACUUAUCGAAUAAUUUCGUUCAAUUUGCAAGUGCAUCACUAUUCGAAUAUGCAAUAUAAGUUAAUCUAUCUCCGUUGUUACGUCGAGAGAGGGUCCAAUUAAGAUAGAUACGACCUCAGUUUCUCGCGUUAAAACAUAAAAUAGACGAUUAGAUAAUUGAAGAUGAAGCAUCGGCGGCACAAGUCGACCCCAGCACGUGAUAGCACCCUUUCUGUUAAACUGACCAAGUGCAAGCUCCAUGUAAAACAGAGGAAUACCGCCGACCACCAACAUCACGCAAUAGGGGACCAAAAAUGCGCCUGUAAACAGAGAAAUAUGUGCACAGAUAUAAAUAUGUAAACAAAUAUCAAUUUAAAAUAGAUACACAUUAAUGAUUUUUCGCGUUAAAACACGGAAACAAUCUAUUCAAAAA